UCAAACACAUCUGCAAAGAAAUGCCUGUUUGCGGGUUCCCGUCGGCGUCCAGUUCAAAUCCGCGGCACCCGGCGCGCGGGGCGCGGGGCCGGGCGGGGGCAGGAAGCGAGGAUGAUUCAUGCGCCAGGGCCUCUCCCAGGGCGGCCGUUGGCUUUUAAAAAAGUGUCUGGGAGGGGGAAAAAAGGCUUGCAGAAUUGCCCCCUUCGGGCUCCAGCGCUCCUCUCCUCCGUCGCUCCGACGCCCGACCUCCCCAGUCCCAGCCCGUCGCAGCCUGACUUCGGACGGUGACAGCUGUCCUGGACAGAACAAUGGCUUGUCCCACACCCCUGCUGCAGCCCAGCACUCAGCAAGGAUGGAGGAAGAUGUCAUGUGCUAGGGCACCAGUUCAGAAGCAGAAGCCACCUGGACUUGAUGGACCAGACUUUCGCUUGUCAAGGGGAAGCACGCUGGGCUCUUUUGUGAACUUCCUUCAAAACAGGACCAGAGUCCCUGCUGUCAUCCUGAACAGCACUGCUAUUUCUGCCAGGACAGGUCCCACACAGCUCCCUGAGCAGAAAAGGAGACACACGAGUGACUAUACCUGGAAUCGUUCUCUGGAUCUUGCGUUUACCAGGCAGGUGCAGUGCCACUGAGCUACAUCCCCAGCCCAAGGGUGACUCUUUAAAUGGAAGAGUUUAACUUCAUAAGAAACUUACUAGAGUUUCCAUACUUUUUAUUGUGGGGUUAUGAACUGGUGGGAGUGGACCAGUUCUGGAUGGCGUGUGCACAGAUACUUGGCUGAGGGUCCUUUCUGCUUGGGAGGGCCAGAGUUCUGAGCUGUGGUACCUGAGGCUGUUUCUGUGGCUCCUUAUACUUCCAAAGAUGGCUCUUUUCCUAGAAGCAUGGCCUGACAGGGAUCUGACAAUGGCCUCUGCCUACAUCGGAAGUUGGCUAAUUUUUUCAGUAAAGGGCCCUGGAGUAAAUAUUUUGGCCUUUGGUGUCUCUGUUGCAAGUAUUUAACUCUGCCAUUGUGGGGAGAAAACAGCCAUAGACAAUACAUAACUGA